ACGCACGCUGGCGGCGUGCUUAACACAUGCAAGUCGAACGGAAAGGCCUGCUUUCCCUUGUGGAUUGCGGGUACUCGAGUGGCGAACGGGUGAGUAACACGUGAGUGAUCUGCCCCCAACUUGGGUAUAAGCCUGGGAAACUGGGUCUAAUUCCCGAUAGGACUGCAGGGUGGUGCCUGUGGUGGAAAACGAUUUUCUAGUGGUUGGGGAUGAGCUCGCGGCCUAUCAGCUUGUUGGUGGGGUAAUGGCCUACCAAGGCGGCGACGGGUAGCCGGCCUGAGAGGGUGGACGGCCACAUUGGGACUGAGAUACGGCCCAGACUCCUACGGGAGGCAGCAGUGGGGAAUAUUGCACAAUGGGCGGAAGCCUGAUGCAGCGACGCCGCGUGGGGGAUGACGGCCUUCGGGUUGUAAACUCCUUUCGACCGCGAGGAAGCCACCUGGUUGGAAGGGUGGUGACGGUAGUGGUAGAAGAAGCACCGGCUAACUACGUG
rnacentral:rRNA from 1 species